GCUGGUGUGGUGCAGUGGUGUGACUCUUGGACUGUGACUCUGGAGACCAGGGUUCGAUUCCCAGCUCAGCC